GUGCUCAUUUUGGCUACACAUAUACUAAAGGUGGAAUGAUUCAGAGAAGAUUAGCAUGGCCCUUGUGCAAGGAUGACAUACAAAUUCAUGAAGUGUUCUGUUUUUUC